GGGGGUGUAGCUCAAUGGUAGAGCACUUGCUUAGCAUGCCUGAAGCUCUGGGUUCCACCCCCAGCAUCUACA
rnacentral:tRNA from 1 species